rnacentral:tRNA from 1 species
UUUAAUAUGGCAGAACAGUGCAAUAGAUUUAAGCUCUAUAAAUAAAAAUUACAUUUUUUAUUAAAA